AAACUAACAAGGAUUCCCCUAGUAACGGCGAGUGAAGCGGGAAGAGCUCAAAUUUGAAAGCUGGCGCCUUCGGCGUCCGCGUUGUAAUCUCGAGAAGUGUUUUCCGUGCUGGACCAUGUACAAGUUCCUUGGAAUAGGACGUCAUAGAGGGUGAAAAUCCCGUCCUUGACAUGGACGCCCAGUGCUUUGUGAUACGCUCUCCACGAGUCGAGUUGUUUGGGAAUGCAGCUCAAAAUGGGUGGUAAAUUCCAUCUAAAGCUAAAUAUUGGGGAGAGACCGAUAGCGAACAAGUACCGUGAGGGAAAGAUGAAAAGCACUUUGGAAAGAGAGUUAAACAGUACGUGAAAUUGUCGAAAGGGAAGCGCUUGAAGUUAGACAUGCCUGCUGGAAUUCAGCCUUGCUUUUUGCUUGGUGUAUUUUCCGGUGAGCAGGCCAGCAUCAGUUUUGUCUGUCGGAUAAGGGUAGGAGGAACGUAGCCCCCCUCGGGGGGUGUUAUAGCCUCUUACUGGAUACGGCGGAUGGGACUGAGGACCGCAGUGUGCCUUUAUGGCGGGCCUUCGGGCACCUUCACACUUAGGAUGCUGGCGUAAUGGCUUUAAGCGAC
rnacentral:rRNA from 1 species